UGGGGAAUUUUGGACAAUGGGCGCAAGCCUGAUCCAGCCAUGCCGCGUGCGGGAAGAAGGCCUUCGGGUUGUAAACCGCUUUUGUCAGGGAAGAAACGAGUUUCUCUAAUACAGAGACUUAAUGACGGUACCUGAAGAAUAAGCACCGGCUAACUACGUGCCAGCAGCCGCGGUAAUACGUAGGGUGCAAGCGUUAAUCGGAAUUCCUGGGCGUAAAGCGUGCUCAGGCGGUUAUGCAAGACAGAUGUGAAAUCCCCGGGCUCAACCUGGGACCUGCAUUUGUGACUGUAUAGCGAAAGUACGGUAGAGGGGGAGGGAAUUCCGCGUGUAGCAGUGAAAUGCGUAGAUAUGCGGAGGAACACCGAUGGCGAAGGCAAUCCCCUGGACCUGUACUGACGCUCAUGCACGAAAGCGUGGGGAGCAAACA
rnacentral:rRNA from 1 species